rnacentral:rRNA from 1 species
GACGCUGGCGGCAGGCUUAACACAUGCAAGUCGAGCGGAGAUAAGGUGCUUGCACCUUAUCUUAGCGGCGGACGGGUGAGUAAUACUUAGGAAUCUGCCUAUUAGUGGGGGACAACAUCUCGAAAGGGAUGCUAAUACCGCAUACGCCCUACGGGGGAAAGCAGGGGAUCACUUGUGACCUUGCGCUAAUAGAUGAGCCUAAGUCAGAUUAGCUAGUUGGUGGGGUAAAGGCCUACCAAGGCGACGAUCUGUAACGGGUCUGAGAGGAUGAUCCGUCACACUGGGACUGAGACACGGCCCAGACUCCUACGGGAGGCAGCAGUGGGGAAUAUUGGACAAUGGGGGGAACCCUGAUCCAGCCAUGCCGCGUGUGUGAAGAAGGCCUUUUGGUUGUAAAGCACUUUAAGCGAGGAGGAGGCUACUUAGAUUAAUACUCUAAGAUAGUGGACGUUACUCGCAGAAUAAGCACCGGCUAACUCUGUGCCAGCAGCCGCGGUAAUACAGAGGGUGCAAGCGUUAAUCGGAUUUACUGGGCGUAAAGGGUACGUAGGUGGUCUUUUAAGUCGGAUGUGAAAUCCCUGAGCUUAACUUAGGAAUUGCAUUCGAUACUGAAAGACUAGAGUAUGGGAGAGGAUGGUAGAAUUCCAGGUGUAGCGGUGAAAUGCGUAGAGAUCUGGAGGAAUACCGAUGGCGAAGGCAGCCAUCUGGCCUAAUACUGACACUGAGGUACGAAAGCAUGGGGAGCAAACAGGAUUAGAUACCCUGGUAGUCCAUGCCGUAAACGAUGUCUACUAGCCGUUGGGGUCUUUGAGACUUUAGUGGCGCAGCUAACGCGAUAAGUAGACCGC